rnacentral:rRNA from 1 species
CCUAGGGAGGCAGCAGUGAGGAAUAUUGGUCAAUGGACGAGAGUCUGAACCAGCCAAGUAGCGUGAAGGAUGACUGCCCUAUGGGUUGUAAACUUCUUUUAUAUGGGAAUAAAAUGUUCCACGUGUGGGACUUUGUAUGUACCAUAUGAAUAAGGAUCGGCUAACCCCGUGCCAGCAGCCGCGGUAAUACGGAGGAUUCGAGCGUUAUCCGGAUUUAUUGGGUUUAAAGGGGGCGUAGGUGGAUUGUUAAGUCAGUUGUGAAAGUGUGCGGGUCAACCGUAGAAUUGCAGUUGAAACUGGCAGUCUGGAGUACGGUAGAGGUGGGCGGAAUGCGUGGUGUAGCGGUGAAAUGCUUAGAUAUCACGAAGAACUCCGAUUGCGAAGGCAGCUCGCUGGACUGCAACUGACACUGAGGCUCGAAAGUGUGGGUAUCAAACAGGAUUAGAUACCCCAGUAGUC